rnacentral:rRNA from 1 species
GACAGAGGGUGCAGACGUUGUUCGGAAUUACUGGGCGUAAAGCGCGUGUAGGCUGCUUCGAAAGUCGGAUGUGAAAGCCCUGGGCUCAACCUAGGAAGUGCAUUCGAAACUUCGAAGCUUGAGUUCUGGAGAGGAAGGCGGAAUUCUCGGUGUAGAGGUGAAAUUCGUAGAUAUCGAGAGGAACACCGGUGGCGAAGGCGGCCUUCUGGACAGUGACUGACGCUGAGACGCGAAAGCGUGGGGAGCAAACAGG